AUGUCUAUUAUGGAGUUGCUAAGGCAAUGUAGAUACAUGUUUGCUUUAUGCUACUACUACUAUUUUUUUACACAACUUGGCUUUGUUAUGAUUUGAUUUGAUUUGAUUCUGGUUAUAUUUUCGUUAUAUACAAAGUUUACAUAUUGUUAUAAUUUUUUAUAAGUAUAAUUUAGUUUUUCUCAGAUAUAAAAACCAUAACAUCAAAGUGGUUAAUUAUGAAAUUGCAAUUGACCAUUUAUUAAGAUUUAGACGAAGUCACGACCAGAAAUAAAUUUUCAUGAUUUGCUAUCUCCAUUGCCCCUCAAGUUGCAUGGUUGAGAAUAAUUUAUUUAUGUAAAUUUGUGCAUACAUUGUUAUUAAAUUAUAUAAAUUUAAUCCUCAAACCUGUGUAAUACACAAGUUUAUAACCCUGUGUAAUUAACAGUAAAAUUUUUAAUAAAACUUAUAUCAAACAUAUACUAAAAUAAAUAUGUUGCAACACUAUAUUCAGAAUUUUAUUGAAGUUGUUCUAAAUUUAUAAAACGAAAAAUAAAUAAAUAAAUGUGAUCUUGGAAUCUUUAAAUAUAAAAAAAUUAAAAAUAUAUAAAUUAAUAAUAAAAUAAAUCACACAAAUAAAUAUCCUAAUCUAAAUUUACUUACAUACAUUAUCUUAAUUUCCCCAUAUUCGUUUAAAUCCUUUAUAUUAGUUAUAGAUAAUUAUUAAUUAAAUUUGAAUUUAUACGUUUAUCUCUAACUAUGUUAAUUAAUAUUAUAAUAAUUUGUGUAUAAAAAAAAUUAAUAUGUAAUAUUAUUAUUAAAAGUGAGGAGGCACCAGAGAGUGACACGUGUACAAAAAGAUUUUUGUUUAUUAGUGUAGGAAGAUUUAGGGUACUUUAUCUUUUAUUAUAUGGAUUUUUACGAUUACACAUACGUAAACUACUCUUAACAUGUAUGCAAUCAUAAAAAUAUAUAUAAUAAAUGAUAAAAGUACCAUAAAGAUAUAAAUAUAUAUAAAAUGAUUGUUUAUUAGGUGUUCUGAAAGUUUUGUAGUUAUUUAGAGUUCUGAAAUGAAC
rnacentral:lncRNA from 1 species